rnacentral:rRNA from 1 species
AUUUCUUCGGAACUGAAGAUUUGGUGACUGAGUGGCGGACGGGUGAGUAACGCGUGGGUAACCUGCCCUGUACAGGGGGAUAACAAUCAGAAAUGACUGCUAAUACCGCAUAAGACCAUAGCACCGCAUGGUGCAGGGGUAAAACUCCGGUGGUACAGGAUGGACCCGCGUCUGAUUAGCUGGUUGGUGAGGUAACGGCUCACCAAGGCGACGAUCAGUAGCCGGCUUGAGAGAGUGAACGUCCACAUUGGGACUGAGACACGGCCCAAACUCC